GAUGAACGCUGGCGGCGUGCCUAAUACAUGCAAGUCGAGCGAACAGACGAGGAGCUUGCUCCUCUGACGUUAGCGGCGGACGGGUGAGUAACACGUGGAUAACCUACCUAUAAGACUGGGAUAACUUCGGGAAACCGGAGCUAAUACCGGAUAAUAUAUUGAACCGCAUGGUUCAAUAGUGAAAGACGGUUUUGCUGUCACUUAUAGAUGGAUCCGCGCCGCAUUAGCUAGUUGGUAAGGUAACGGCUUACCAAGGCAACGAUGCGUAGCCGACCUGAGAGGGUGAUCGGCCACACUGGAACUGAGACACGGUCCAGACUCCUACGGGAGGCAGCAGUAGGGAAUCUUGCGCGAUGGGCGAAAGCCUGACGGAGCAACGCCGCGUGAGUGAUGAAGGUCUUCGGAUCGUAAAACUCUGUUAUUAGGGAAGAACAAAUGUGUAAGUAACUAUGCACGUCGUGACGGUACCUAAUCAGAAAGCCACGGCUAACUACGUG
rnacentral:rRNA from 1 species